UACGUAGGGGGCAAGCGUUGUCCGGAAUCAUUGGGCGUAAAGCGCGUGUAGGCGGUUCAGUAAGUCUGCUGUGAAAGUCCAGGGCUCAACCCUGGGAUGCCGGUGGAUACUGCUGGACUAGAGUGCGGAAGAGGCGAGUGGAAUUCCCGGUGUAGCGGUGAAAUGCGCAGAUAUCGGGAGGAACACCAAUUGCGAAGGCAGCUAACUAAGCAUAUAUUGACGCUGAGGCACGAAAGCGUGGGGAUCAAACAGG
rnacentral:rRNA from 1 species